rnacentral:rRNA from 1 species
UACGUAGGUGGCAAGCGUUGUCCGGAUUUACUGGGCGUAAAGAGCGCGCAGGCGGUUGAUUAAGUCGAAUGUGAAAGCCCCCGGCUCAACUGGGGAGGGUCAUUCGAUACUGAUCGACUUGAAGGCAGGAGAGGGUAGUGGAAUUCCCGGUGUAGUGGUGAAAUGCGUAGAUAUCGGGGAGGAACACCAGUGGCGAAGGCGGCCUGCUGGGACGUGGCUGACGCUGAGGCGCGACAGCGUGGGGGAGCAAACAGG